rnacentral:rRNA from 1 species
AAGUCCGGCAACGAGCGCAACCCCUGUCCUUAGUUACCAUCAUUAAGUUGGGGACGUCUAGGGAGACUGCCGGUGUUAAACCGGAGGAAGGCGGGGAUGACGUCAAGUCCUCAUGGCUCUUACGGGAAGGGCUACACACGUACUACAAUGGUAGAAACAAAGGGUUGCGAAACCGCGAGGUCAAGCUAAUCCCUAAAACACUAUCUCAGUCCGGAUUGGAGUCUGCAACUCGACUCCAUGAAGUUGGAAUCGCUAGUAAUCGGAGAUCAGCACGCUCCGGUGAAUACGUUCCCGGGCCUU